CCCUGCCAUCAGGAGGAUUACCAACCACUAAGUCAGGCACCAGAUCAGGCUGCCCAGGGCUGCAUCCAACCCAACUUUGAACAUCUGUACAGAUGGGGCAUCCACAACCUUUCUCGGGAAGGAAUUUCCUGCACUAAUGCCAGGAGCGGUCACACUUGAGUCAUAUUUUGACUGGCAAUUCAGAUACAAACCUGGAAGAGAACACGAACCCCUCUGUAAAACAUGGAGCUACAUUCAAUCCAAGGGCUUAACCAGUCCUGGGGGCAGACCCAUCGCUGAGCCUGCUGCCCUCACACAUCUGCUGCUCUCAGUGAUGAUCCUGUUUUUACAGAAAACAAACUGUGCCAAUGAGGAGCACAUGUUAAGUAAAACCCUGUCUCCCAAAUG
rnacentral:lncRNA from 1 species